ACCAGCACCACAUCUGGGUUAUCGCAGUACGCGUUGGCCUGAAGCUGACCUGCAUAAACAUCCAGGAAACUGUUCAACCAACCUGAAACUACGACUCAACCAGGCUUAGAAAUCAACAGGAGAGGAACCAAAAACAACAUACUCAUCCAGUUCCUGACGUUAGCAAAACUUUGCUGAUUGGUCAAGUCAAACAUCAACAGGAAACCCAUUGCAUCUCGGAAGAAAGCUGUUGUGAGGCUGCGAAACCUUGGAAUGAAGGACAUUUAACCAUCGAGCCUACCAGAGAUGAUCUUCUGCCCGACGGCGCCUGGGAUUGGGGCCUGGCGGCUCUCCCUACUCAACCACUUGUUGGUCGCCGAGAAUCUUCGUAUUGUGAGCCUGAAGAAACACACGGAUUUAGUGAUGACCCGACCUUUCCACCAGACUGCCGAGCAGCUCCCGGAUCUUUGCCAUGACUUCCUUCACUGAACACAUUUUCUUAAAGGA